rnacentral:rRNA from 1 species
AGAGUUUGAUCCUGGCUCAGAACGAACGCUGGCGGCGUGGAUAAGACAUGCAAGUCGAACGGGACAACAUUUGUAGCAAUACAGAUGUUGUUUAGUGGCGAACGGGUGCGUAACACGUGGGGAAUCUGCCGAGAAGUGGGGGAUAGCUCGCCGAAAGGCGAAUUAAUACCGCAUACGAUCAGGGAAGACAUCUUUCCGACAUCAAAGCCGGGGCAACCUGGCGUUUCUUGAUGACCCCGCGGCCUAUCAGCUAGUUGGUGAGGUAACGGCCCACCAAGGCAAUGACGGGUAGCUGGUCUGAGAGGACGACCAGUCACACUGGAACUGAGACACGGUCCAGACACCUACGGGUGGCAGCAGUCGAGAAUUUUUCUCAAUGGGGGCAACCCUGAAGGAGCGACGCCGCGUGGAGGAUGAAGGCUUUCGGGUUGUAAACUCCUGUCAUUUGAGAACAAGGUGCACCGGUUAACUGCCGGUGCAUUGAUAGUAUCAGAAGAGGAAGGGACGGCUAACUCUGUGCCAGCAGCCGCGGUAAUACAGAGGUCCCAAGCGUUGUUCGGAUUCAUUGGGCGUAAAGGGUGCGUAGGUGGCGCCGUAAGUGGGGUGUGAAAUCUCGGGGCUUAACUCCGAAACUGCAUUCCAUACUGCGGUGCUUGAGGACUGGAGAGGAGACUGGAAUUUACGGUGUAGCAGUGAAAUGCGUAGAGAUCGUAAGGAAGACCAGUGGCGAAGGCGGGUCUCUGGACAGUUCCUGACACUGAGGCACGAAGGCCAGGGGAGCAAACGGGAUUAGAUACCCUAGUAGUCC